rnacentral:pre_miRNA from 1 species
UUUUGCACAGCGAACGGACUGGUACUUGAAAAUAUAAAGGAUAUAUUUUCAAGUACCAGUCCGUUCUCUGUGCAAAAAAU